rnacentral:rRNA from 1 species
AUCCUGUACUGUCGAGAAAAGCUUCGUGAGCGAGGUGGCGGGUCCGCCCGUACCCUAAACCGACACUGGUGGAUAGGUAGAGUAUACCGAGGCGAUCGAGUGAAUCGUGGUGAAGGAACUCGGCAAAAUGCCCCCGUAACUUUGGGAUAAGGGGGACCUGAGCUGUCGUGCACCCGUGCGGUGUGGUGGCGGUGAGGGGCGCAGAGUCCAGGGGG